CACUAAGGAGGGGCUUGGAGGUGCCUGGUGUUGAUUCCAGUGUUUGAGAAGCAGAAGCAGAGGCAGAUGGAUCUCUGUGAAUUCAAGGCCUGCCAGUUACUCAUAGGGGUUCCUGGGUGCGGGGAGUUAUGGCUGCCAUGUGGAACCCUUAGGAUGAGCGCACUGCCAACCACGAUGCCCAUGCCCAUCAAGCCCUCCACCAGGCCCAGGGCACAGACCGCAGUCUCCAUUGUCUCAGAUACCUGGACUGGCUUCUGCGUUUCUGAGGGAAAUGAAUAGAUGCAGCUCAGAAUUCUUGACACCUCUGAGUCCAGAGAGGGCCGGAAGACUCCUUCUACUGAGCAGCCUCAGUAGAGCUCAACCUCUCUUGGGUAAGAAGAGGAGACACCAGCCCCCUACUAUACAGCAGGGAGUUCAGGGCCGCUCCAAGGAGGGUCCCUCAGCAGAGGGCAUCUGUAGCCCAUUCUGAGUGUGGACCAGGGGUCCUCCCAUCGUUGUAUCUCUGGAUCAAGGCUCUCAGGUUGUUCUUCAGGCUGAUGAUGUAGGGCAGAGCUUCCUGGGCGUCAAAUGCAUAAACCUUGCUGAACUCCCGGCAGGUCCCAGACCGUUUCCUCCCUGUCAAGAUCCAUGUCGAACUGCUCAUAGCCAUCAAACGCGUACAUGCAUUCACCGGAUGGAUGUUGUGUCUGUACAAAUAUGCCAUACAUUGCUACGUGUUCUGCUGUAGAAGCAAGAUAAAGAAAAAUGAGACCAAUAUAAGAACUAUCGUGUAAGUGGUAAGGCAGGGGAAUGGCUGGAUUUAUUAAUAAAGUCAGAAGAGACCAAAAAAAAGGGGGAAUAGGGGAGGAGAAACAGCAGACAGGAGGCAGUGUGGGGUGUUGGGGAGAGGGAAGAAGAUAGACUCUUCAGUCCAUCUGCCCCUGCCCACUCCCAGGUGGAACCCCAUGGAUCUGGGCAGGGUGUGUGUGUGUGUGUGUGUGUGUGUGUGUGUUUGACAGAAGCCUCUGUUGAGCACUCGCUGAGUGCCAAGCCUGUUAAUAGGCUACAUGUUUGACACAUGUUAAUGCUACAACAACCUUAGAUGCAACCAAGGAAGCACAGAGAAGGUCGGUGACUUGCCUCAGGUCACACAGCAAUGCACAGCUAGGAGAGAGACUUUGCCCUCCCCACAGCUCCGGGUUCUAGGACUGUAGGUGUGAAAUUAGGUUUAAACUCGUGGAGGUGGCAGGGCUGGCAUGCUAGUGUCUAUUACAGAAAAGGUGGGAAGCUCGCUGCAUUGUAGUGAUCCAGUUGCUGAGUUUCUGUGUUAGUUCAUAAAUUUGCACCUGCAGCAUGUGCUAAUUCUGUGACUCUGUAUUUUUUUAAUCUUAAGCAUAUUAAAUCCAACAGAAUGGA